rnacentral:rRNA from 1 species
CCUACGGGUGGCAGCAGUGAGGAAUAUUGGUCAAUGGGCGGAAGCCUGAACCAGCCAAGUCGCGUGAGGGAGUAAGGCCCUACGGGUCGUAAACCUCUUUUGCCGGGGGGCAGUGCUCAGCUCGUGUGCUCGGAGGGAGCGUACCCGCAGAAAAGGCAUCGGCUAACUCCGUGCCAGCAGCCGCGGUAAUACGGAGGAUGCGAGGGUUACCCGGAUUUUUUGGGUUAAAGGGGUGCGUAGGCGGGCCUUCAGGCCGGCGGUAAAAUUGCGGGGCUCAACCUCGCCGAGCCGUCGGAACCGGGGGCCGUGAGUACCGGAGAAGUACGCGGAAUGCGUGGUGUAGCGGUGAAAUGCAUAGAUAUCACGCAGAACCCCGAUUGCGAAGGCAGCGUACCGGCCGGUCACUGACGCUGAGGCACGAAAGCGCGGGUAUCGAACAGGAUUAGAUACCCUGGUAGUC